UGCAGUCGAACGGCAGCACAGUAAGAGCUUGCUCUUACGGGUGGCGAGUGGCGGACGGGUGAGGAAUACAUCGGAAUCUACUCUUUCGUGGGGGAUAACGUAGGGAAACUUACGCUAAUACCGCAUACGCCCUUCGGGGGAAAGCAGGGGAUCGCAAGACCUUGCGCGAUUGAAUGAGCCGAUGUCGGAUUAGCUAGUUGGCGGGGUAACGGCCCACCAAGGCGACGAUCCGUAGCUGGUCUGAGAGGAUGAUCAGCCACACUGGAACUGAGACACGGUCCAGACUCCUACGGGAGGCAGCAGUGGGGAAUAUUGGACAAUGGGCGCAAGCCUGAUCCAGCCAUACCGCGUGGGUGAAGAAGGCCUUCGGGUUGUAAAGCCCUUUUGUUGGGAAAGAAAAGCAUCCGGUUAAUACCCGGGUGUUCUGACGGUACCCAAAGAAUAAGCACCGGCUAACUUCGUGCCAGCAGCCGCGGUAAUACGAAGGGUGCAAGCGUUACUCGGAAUUACUGGGCGUAAAGCGUGCGUAGGUGGUGAUUUAAGUCCGUUGUGAAAGCCCUGGGCUCAACCUGGGAAUUGCAGUGGAUACUGGGUCACUAGAGUGUGGUAGAGGAUAGUGGAAUUUCCGGUGUANCAGUGAAAUGCGUAGAGAUCGGAAGGAACAUCUGUGGCGAANGCGACUAUCUGGGCCAACACUGACACUGAGGCACGAAAGCGUGGGGGAGCNAACAGGAUUANAUACCCUGNNANUCCACGCCCUAAACGAUGCGAACUGNAUGUUGGGUUCAACUUGGAACCCAGUAUCNAAGCUAACGCGUUAAGUUCNCCGCCUGGGGNNUACGGUCGCAAGACUGAAACUCAAAGGAAUUGACGGGGGNCCGCAC
rnacentral:rRNA from 1 species